UACGGGGGGGGCAAGCGUUGUUCGGAAUUACUGGGCGUAAAGGGCUCGUAGGCGGCCAACUAAGUCAGACGCGAAAUCCCUCGGCUUAACCGGGGAACUGCGUCUGAUACUGGAUGGCUUGAAUCCAGGAGAGGGAUGCGGAAUUCCAGGUGUAGCGGUGAAAUGCGUAGAUAUCUGGAGGAACACCGGUGGCGAAGGCGGCAUCCUGGACCGGCAUUGACGCUGAGGAGCGAAAGCCAGGGGAGCAAACGGG
rnacentral:rRNA from 1 species